rnacentral:rRNA from 1 species
GGGCUGGUUGACUGCGCAGGGAUUAUGACCCGCGAACAAGUUUAUCCACCGCUGAAGGUGCCCCGUGCGCCGGACGCGAGGCCCCGCGGGGGGCUACGAAUUCCGCUGAGGCAACGAAACAAAACCCCGGCGCGGAAGGCGCCAAGGAAAAGGAACGUCCGAGCGAGAACCCGGCUUUCCCCCGGGGAGACGGGCGGGGUUUGACGGGGGGGUCUCCUUUUGGAAUCAAAAAGACUUUUGGCAACGGGAUUUCUCGCUCUGGCAUCGAUAAAAAAGGUAGCAAAAGGCGAUCUUGGGGGUGAAUGGCAGAACCCCGGGAACCACCGAUUUUUUGAACGCAGGUUGCGCCCAAAGCCUUUUGGUCGAGGGCACGUCUGCCUGGGUGUCACGCAACGCCCUUCCUUCACUCCCUCCCAAGGGGAAGGUGAUUUCGGAGCGAACAGGCCUCCGGGGCCUCUUGACCGCGGCUGGCCUAAACACGAGACAUGUCGCCAGGGGCGGGCAUCGGUGGUUGAAAACCUCAAGCCCCCGUUAACUUGGCCGACCACGGGUUCUCUACACCCUCUGUCCAUCGACGCGACCCAGGCAGGCGGGAUUACCCGCUGAGUUAAGCAUAUCAUAGGCGGAGAAG